rnacentral:rRNA from 1 species
CGGGGGGCAGCAGUGAGGAAUUUUUCGCAAUGGGCGCAAGCCUGACGGAGCAAUACUGCGUGGAGGAUGAAGGCUCGUGGGCUGUAAACUCCUUUUCCUCGAGAAGAAGUUCUGACGGUAUCGGGGGAAUAAGCAUCAGCUAACUGCGUGCCAGCAGCUGCGGUAAUACGUGGGAUGCAAGCGUUAUCCGGAAUUAUUGGGCGUAAAGCGUCUGUAGGUUGCUUUGCAAGUUUGUUGUUAAAUCAUUCAGCUUAACUGAAUUCCAGCAACAAAAACUAUAAAGCUUGAGUUCGGUAGAGGAAGAGGGAAUUCCCUGUGGAGCGGUGAAAUGCGUAGAGAUAGGGAAGAACACCAAUGGCGAAAGCACUCUUCUGGGCCUGAACUGACACUGAGAGACGAAAGCUAGGGGAGCGAGUAGGAUUAGAUACCCGAGU